AUUUUAUUGCUUUUUGUCAACGUUCGGCCAGAGAUACCAACCAACCUGGGAAUCUCUGGAAAGUCGACCCUUCCGGAACUGGUACGACGAGCAAAACUUGGCAUAUUAUGCACUGGGGAGUUUUCUCUGUUCCUAGUUACAGUGCAGUAUGGUUCUGGAAUAUUGGAAAAAUGGACACCGAGACAUUGUCAACUUUAUGAAGCGCAACUAUCGCC
rnacentral:lncRNA from 1 species